rnacentral:rRNA from 1 species
GAUGAACGCUGGCGGCGUGCCUAAUACAUGCAAGUCGAGCGAACAGAUAAGGAGCUUGCUCCUUUGACGUUAGCGGCGGACGGGUGAGUUACACGUGGAUAACCUACCUAUAAGACUGAGAUAACUUCGGGAAACCGGAGCUAAUACCGGAUAACAUAUUGAACCGCAUGGUUCAAUAGUGAAAGGCGGCUUUGCUGUCACUUAUAGAUGGAUCCGCGCCGUAUUAGCUAGUUGGUAAGGUAACGGCUUACCAAGGCAACGAUACGUAGCCGACCUGAGAGGGUGAUCGGCCACACUGGAACUGAGACACGGUCCAGACUCCUACGGGAGGCAGCAGUAGGGAAUCUUCCGCAAUGGGCGAAAGCCUGACGGAGCAACGCCGCGUGAGUGAUGAAGGUCUUCGGAUCGUAAAACUCUGUUAUCAGGGAAGAACAAAUGUGUAAGUAACUGUGCACAUCUUGACGGUACCUGAUCAGAAAGCCACGGCUAACUACGUG